AGCAGCCGCGGUAAUUCCAGCUCCAAUAGCGUAUAUUAAAGUUGUUGCAGUUAAAAAGCUCGUAGUUGAAUUUCGGGGUUCUACCGUUGGUCAGGCUAUUGUCUGUACUGGCGUGUAGAAUUUCUACCUUCUGGGGAACUAUCAUGUUAUUAAUUUAGCGUGGUAGGAAACCAGGACCUUUACCUUGAAAAAAUUAGAGUGUUCAAAGCAGGCUUAUGUCUGAAUACAUUAGCAUGGAAUAAUAAAAUAGGACGGUGGUCCUGUUUUGUUGGUUUCUGAAUCACCGUAAUGAUUAAUAGGGAUAGUUGGGGGCAUUAGUAUUCAAUUGUCAGAGGUGAAAUUCUUGGAUUUAUUGAAGACUAACUACUGCGAAAGCAUUUGCCAUGGAUGUUUUCAUUAAUCAAGAACGAAAGUUAGGGGAUCGAAGACGAUCAGAUACCGUCGUAGUCUUAACCAUAAACUAUGCCGACUAGGGAUCGGACGAUGUUAACUUUUCUCGACUCGUUCGGCGCCUUACGGG
rnacentral:rRNA from 1 species